UGGUGGGUAGUUUGACUGGGGCGGUCUCCUCCUAAAGAGUAACGGAGGAGCACGAAGGUUGGCUAAUCCUGGUCGGACAUCAGGAGGUUAGUGCAAUGGCAUAAGCCAGCUUGACUGCGAGCGUGACGGCGCGAGCAGGUGCGAAAGCAGGUCAUAGUGAUCCGGUGGUUCUGAAUGGAAGGGCCAUCGCUCAACGGAUAAAAGGUACUCCGGGGAUAACAGGCUGAUACCGCCCAAGAGUUCAUAUCGACGGCGGUGUUUGGCACCUCGAUGUCGGCUCAUCACAUCCUGGGGCUGAAGUAGGUCCCAAGGGUAUGGCUGUUCGCCAUUUAAAGUGGUACGCGAGCUGGGUUUAGAACGUCGUGAGACAGUUCGGUCCCUAUCUGCCGUGGGCGCUGGAGAACUGAGGGGGGCUGCUCCUAGUACGAGAGGACCGGAGUGGACGCAUCACUGGUGUUCGGGUUGUCAUGCCAAUGGCACUGCCCGGUAGCUAAAUGCGGAAGAGAUAAGUGCUGAAAGCAUCUAAGCACGAAACUUGCCCCGAGAUGAGUUCUCCCUGACUCCUUGAGAGUCCUGAAGGAACGUUGAAGACGACGACGUUGAUAGGCCGGGUGUGUAAGCGCAGCGAUGCGUUGAGCUAACCGGUACUAAUGAACCGUGAGGCUUAACCUUACAAC
rnacentral:rRNA from 1 species